rnacentral:lncRNA from 1 species
UCAUCUGGGCCUUUAUUUCUUUCCCCCUGGCACUUCUUGGUACGGUUGUUGGAAGAAACUGGAGUGGUGCUCCAAACAAUCCAUGCCGAGUGAAGACCAUUCCACGACCAAUUCCUGAGAAGAAGUGGUACUUGACACCAUCUGUAGUUUCUGUGAUGGGAGGAUUGCUUCCCUUUGGCAGCAUAUUCAUUGAAAUGUACUUUGUUUUCACUUCCUUCUGGAAUUACAAGGUAAUAUAGUUGACCUAUCGUGCUAAUUUUUUUCUUAAUCAUUAAUGUGUCUAUAUUUUUUUUGUUAUCUGAAAUUUGAAGUAUCUUAUGCAGACUUAAAAGAAAACUAUAUUAGUGGUUAAUUUUUCUAUCUUUAAAUCGAACAUGACAUGUUAUAAAUUUCUAGAUUGAUAUAAUCUAAUGCCAGGGAAUUAGGGCUAUUUAGAGAUAUAUGUUUUGGGAUUGGGUUAAAUUCCCCGUAAAGCUAGGUUCAAGCAAAUGUAAGUGGCUGUGGCUUUGUGUAGCAGAUUGUUUGUGGGUUGAACCUCGAGUAUUCUUAGUAUGCAAAUUCUGCUAAAAGCUUAAAACAGACAUAUGCAAUUAGUGACUAUCUACACAUUUCUGCUGACAAAAUUUUGUCCCAUUUGGUUUAGCCGAAAAUUAUUUUUAGUAGAUUUUGAUGAAACUUGAUGAAAUGUUCGGUUGAAAAGUUGAUAAAAGUUGUGUGUCCCAUGAAAUGUGUGGUUGAAAAUGCGUUUGAGGAAAAUUGAGUUUUAGAAAAUGGGGGCCAAAUAGCGGCUUGGUCUGCUGAUGCACCAGUCUGAUUCUCAUUUUCUGCUCUAUUGAAUGCCUUGGUCUUGGGAGUGUGAGAUGAGGAGGCAAGGAGCAGUGAAGGUUUUGAACAAACUAUUUAUCUUCGAUGAGUUGUAUUCUAGAUGAAGGGGAGUCCCUGGAGUACCCUUUUAUGCUGUUAAAGAUAAAUUUGUUUGCUUAUUUUUUGUUUGGCAUAUGCAUCUCUCCAACUUAUUUGUGCCCCUCUCGUCUCCCUUUUCGAUUAUUAUCCAAGCAUAAGACCCAUUUUUUAUAGGUCUGAAC